rnacentral:rRNA from 1 species
AUUUUAGGGNUUUUCUGCUCAUGAAAUUUAAAUGGCCGCAGUACUUUGACUGUGCUAAGGUAGCAUAAUCAAUUGUCUUUUAAUUGGAGACUAGAAUGAAUGAAUUUAUGGUUAAAUUCUUUAUUUAUAUAUUUUAUUAAAAUUUAUUUAUUAGGUGAAAAUACCUAAAAUAAUUUAUUAGACGAGAAGACCCCAGGAAUUUAAUUUUUUUUAUUGGGGCGAUAUCUAAACAUUAACAAAAUAACUUUAGAUUUUUAUUAAAUAAAACGAAGAUUUUUUAAUUAAAAAUAAAUUACCCUGGGGAUAACAGCAUAAUUUUUUAUAAAGAUUGUGACCUCGAUGUUGGAUUAGAAAAAAAUUUUACUUAAAGAGUAAUUUUUUAUGUUCUGUUCGAACAAUAAUAAUUUUUCUACGUGAUCUGAGUCCAACC